CACGUAGGGGGCAAGCGUUGUCCGGAAUUAUUGGGCGUAAAGAGCUCGUAGGCGGCUUGUCACGUCGGGUGUGAAAGCCCGGGGCUUAACCCCGGGUCUGCAUUCGAUACGGGCAGGCUAGAGUGUGGUAGGGGAGAUCGGAAUUCCUGGUGUAGCGGUGAAAUGCGCAGAUAUCAGGAGGAACACCGGUGGUGUAAACGGCUUUCUGGACCAUAACUGACACUGAGACACGAAAGCGUGGGGAGCAAACAGG
rnacentral:rRNA from 1 species